ensembl:lncRNA
CCAUUUUCCAUAAUGAGAGCCUGAACAAUUUCACCUACAUGGUUUAAAUCCUUCAAGGAGCAGGAGGAUUUAGAACCACAGCUGUAUUUCUGUCCGCUUCCCUCACUCCCCCUUAUACACGAGAACCCCAGAGAAGCCCAAAGGAGGGGAGCGGGCAGAUGUCUUCGCUGGACUGCAGCUGCCUGGCAAAGCCCAGCUGAUCAGGUUCCUGCUAUUAUUUCUGCAGGAAUCUGUGCCCUAAAGAGCAAUUCCAAGGCAAGCCUCCAGGCUGGAUCCUGGCCAGGCUUCAUGUUGCAGUGUUAAAGGGGCAAGUUCAGUUCAGGGUGGGGACCUUUUUGCUUUGCUCUGUGUUUAAAUCUGGAGUAUUUUGCACUGCACAACUGUUUGAACCCCCAGGCAUGCUGCAAUGAGAAAAGGAUGAAAUAGAGGAAGGCAGCGGAGAAGUAACAGAAAUUCAGCAGUAAAGUAGCAGAUGGGUUCCAGCAGAGUUCUGCUUUGAUUUAUGUCCAGCCAAGCACAUCAGGCCCAGGUUUGGGGCCCGGAGGAGUCCAAACCAGAAGCUGUCUGAGGAGCUCCUCACCAAGAGAGGAGCAGCUGAAUCACCAGAGCCACAAGUGAGCACUCCCUGCGCACCCACGCUGCUGAGGGAAAGAAACCUUUCACCCAAGCACCGCCACUGUUCAACAGAUGUGGUUCCCGCUCCAAAGUCAAAAAAAACACCCUUCAGUCCUCAUAACGUGACAGGAAAAAGACCCCUCACAGGCAAGAUGGGUGUUUGUUUUAGCUAGAGUGCUUCCCCUCAGUCUUGGCUGAUACAGAUGGAGCCUCAGUGGUGACUGGCACCUGCAGGGAACUUCUGCCCUGGAAGAAGGGAAAAGGUUGUUUUCAUGGAAUGCAUCCCACAUCCCAGACUGAUCUUGUCAGUAACAUGCUGAAUGGCUCAAGGGAAUCAGAUAGAUCUUAGAACCCUUUUUUUUUUUUUUUUUAAGUGUAAAUGUUUGCCUAUUAUUAAAAAAGCAGAGUUAAAUAUUUUCAACCACCUGUAAUGGUUUGGUAGCCAUCCAUGAACUUCCCCCUCAUUCCUAGAUUAAAAACUAAAAGCAGACCCAAAAGAUAGCUUUUGCUGCAGUAGGAUACUCUGAGCACUUACUUUCCUGGCCCACAGUAACCUCAGUCUGGGAAGGGGCUGCUGAUAUCCUUUGUAUAAGGAGUCAAGUCUCAGGCAGAAAGAAAAAUAAUGGUGGCUUGGGCCCCCAAAAUUAUUGUGCUAUUUCCUGUUCCAGUGGUAGAAAGUACCUCUAGAGAGGCAAGAAGCAAAAAAUAUGUUUCUUACAGAGCAGAGUACACUCUUUUUGUAUUAAAAUAGAGUCCUAUCACUCAUCAACUUUCAAUUUGACCCAAAGCACAGUUUGAUUUUCAAUUUCUUCCUGUGUCUUGCAUCGCCAUAUCUCUGGUUGUUCAUACUGAAUUAGCUCUUGAAUGCUAAUGUACUCAGGGUGACAUUUUGAUGACAAUCGGAUACACUGCAUCAUAUCGGGUUGAAAGUACCCCACCAGCCCUGGUGCCUCUAGAUGAAACAGAGCCGGAAAGGACUUUGCCAAGCCUCAUCUUGAGUCCUCUACGCUUUGCAACUAAAGACAGCUCAUAAAUGAAGAUUGGGCCUUGGCAACUCUCCGUUCAUUAUUGACAAAUUAAGAGCUUCAUAAUUUCACCUCUUCUUUUGUUCUUUGUGCACAGACACACACAUACACACUUGGUGACUUGCGGUUUUUUCAUCUUGACAAAUCCUUCCUCCGGCUUCCCUCAGUUUUCAACAGCACAACAGGGAGUCAAUCAGGAAAGCUUUACAAGGCCGAUAAAACGGAUUUGUUUAACUGGUUUCCAGUUCAGUCCAGAGUAUUGUGAGGAAAUACACAAAGGCAGUGGGAAAUAAUUAUCUUUCUUCUGCAAGACCUCUUGGCCACCAUUAUCAAGUACAAAUGUGCAUAAAAUGUGGGCAUUUUCAAAUGUGUGCACCAACCUGGGUGCUUCAGAGAUCACAGCUGCUCCCUGAAGGUCACAAGGUAGGGAUGGACUCAUUCAGAUGAAACUGAAGUUUCGUCAUGCUUUCAUACCUGUAAUUAAUUUACCAGAAAGCAGUAAGCAUUGUCUUUAUAAAUGGAUUCUGAAGACCUGUAUCAGCUGUGGUUUGCAGCAACAUUUUGGGUCUCGAGGCCACCACCUGUGACCAGUCUGCAGCUGAAACCAUCCUGAUUACACAAACUGUACCAGCGGGGUAGGAGAUAAGUGCGAGCAAAGCAGGAGAACAUCAAGAAGGACUUCUAACCCAGUGCCCCACUGCUCAGGAAGGCUCUCUCAGGCUGACAGGGCUCAGCUGUCUCCCAUUUCAAAGCAAGCUGGGCUGGCACUACUUCAGAGGUCUCCUUCUGCCAUUGUGCAGCACAGACAGGACUGUCCUGCAUGGCCAUCUGAGGGAAGGGGUUGUUUUAUUUAUAAGAUGGGAGGAAAAAAUAAAGUUACUGAAUUGUUUUUCAUUUGGGGUGAAGAGGAAGAAAAGAGCUCUCUUAUUUUUAAUAUCCAAAGUGCAUUCAGAGUGAUUUGCUUUCAAAGGGAGAAAAGGAAGUUUGGAAGCUGAGCUUCUACCACGACUGAGAGUUUCUCACACAUGCACGGAGAUUUUUGGUCAAAAAUCAAGUUCCUCAUGAAUCAAAACCAGAAUUCAACUGUGUACACAAAACAGCCCCAGGAGACCAGGGCUGAGCCAGGUUCUCAAAGCUGAUCUCUGCACGCAGGAGCACAAGGGUGGGGGCAGGAGGGUCUCUGGGGCACGUUCCCUGUGGGACAGGCUACGGGGCCUUCUAUUCACAGAAAAGGGGACCAAGCAUGACAGCUUGAGAGGCUGUUCCUGGGAGACGAGGACAGCCAUCAUGAGGGCAUGUUCCUGUGAGACAGGAGAUGCUGGCUCAAAGCAGCCUGGUUAAAUGAGGCGAGUAAUGCAGAGGGGUCAUCCACAUCCCACUGAGUGCGAUCACCUGGUCGCAAGGGCAAGGGAAGGAUCGCCUCCUCCAUUUUUUCAAUCCAGCCCUUCAUUGCUAUGGCUUCUCUCACCACUCAAUGAGGCACUGUGUUUCAGGAAGAAAACAAAAUAUUUGUUUGACCCAAAAUGAACUUCAGGGCUUGAAAUUCACCAAUAAGCCAUGACAAAAAAUGUGUUUUUUCAGUCAGUCCCUCCAAUUUAUUUUCACAUUUAUGUGUUGACAGCCAAACAAAAAAAUAAGUAUUCACAUAAUGACAUGCUGUCUUCCACUUGUUUUUCACAUGAAUGGGGUUACAUAUUUCAAUCCCUGGUCCUAAAAACUUUUCCAGAUUUUAUUUUAAAAUUAAAUAGAAAUGCUUGAGAGAAGAGUUAAGAUUACAGUAAACAUGGAUAAGUUUUACUUAGCAACUCUGUGCCUUGGAGAGGACUUAAUGCUAUUUAUUUUAUUUAUCUGCUACACUUAGCUGGAUAGAUUCCACAUUCCAUUACAGUUUAGAAGUGAUGUAUUUCAUCCCGUAACAACAAUUCCCAGUUAACUGUUACAAUCAAAUAUUCUUGUUUAAAGCCAAGCGUAUACCAAAAAUCAUAAUGCAAAGCUCAUUUCCUUAAGAAUCAACGUAGUUUUAUUCUGAGUUUCCAUAAAAAGAAAAUAUUACUUUAAAAUACAAACUUUUAGAUACAGUGGAAAGCGAAUUCCAUUCAGAUGAUGUAAUUAACCCCCAGUAUAAAUAAUGUGUGGUGUAUAUUGUAAUAUGAUAAUGUGAAAGUCCAAAAGGACUCAUUCCCAGACCACAUCAGAAAAUCUACUGAGUCAACAACUGUAGCAGACAAUAACAGCACGAGUUAAAGAGCAGAGCUUUAAAGCAGGUUAGUCCAAACUGUGCAGCAUCGAAAGCGCCACUGACAAGAUUAAAUAUGACCACUCACACUCUGGUGUUAUGUGAACUCACUCAGAAAAGACUUGAUAUGUAAGACCUGUCUGUGAAGCAACAACUCGUUCCACUUGCCAUGCUGAACUGCCGGACGUGGAUGUACAUUCCUAUCUCUGUUUUGCAUUAUUGCCACCAAUUUUAGAAUAAUUUAAAAGGAAGACGACUUUUUUUAACCCAUUUUCUUAAAUUUUGCUUAAAUUACAUUAAGAAAACAUAUCUGAAGCUCACCUUCUUGCAUAGAGAUUCUCUGGGAUGUGGCUACAGAGAAGAUGUAAGGAGCUGAAAUGAAAAGGUAUUAUUGUAGCAAUAAAGAUGUUGUUUCAACUGUCCUCUCGGAUCAAAAGAAAAACAGCAUUUCAGUGGGAUAUAAGUGACUCAAUGUUAUAUGUAGAAACUGCACAAAAGCCACAUGGUAAUGAUUACUAAAAGCGCAUAUUUGUUCACUUUUUCUUGACAAGAGCCACAUGGCUUUUUUUAAUCUAUUGUAUCACAUAUAUGAUGUAACAGUAUAUCAAUGCAAAUCAAACAAAAGCUAAGCAACCUUCCAGCUGAGUGUCCAGACGCAGAAGUCAGGCAGGAACUUCUGGUUCCCAUUCCCAGCUCAACCCUCCAUGCAUACAUUUUCUGCUGCUAUCUUCCAUGUCAAAAAUGCAUGGUUUAAAUCACAAGAGAAAGGAGAGAAACCGCCACAUUUUUUUUAUGAAUUCCAACACCACGGUAAAACCAAAGACAGGAAAAUGGGCUUUCUCCCCAAAGCCAAUUGGAGCAAUGACCGCAAGCAGGGGUGACUAAUCACUCUGUGCUGAACAUGGUGCUGCCCAUCUGCCACCAUCACACCUUUGUCAUGCAGUUGGAUUUAACAUAAGCCUGCAACUUUGCCCAGAGCUUAGGACUGCAGCCGUAAAACAGCAUGAAAUUCAGCAGAAGCCCCAGCUGGUAUGUGGCGCUGCAUGGGAAAAUCUGCCAAAUUAAAAUGGCUCUAGUUCAGUCCUUCCAAGUAAUUUUCUAUGUACCAUGCCCUUAAAAAGCAGUACAGUAAUGCUUUAAAAGCAUUUAUAUUACUUCAAUAUUCUUGAUUUCUGUGGGAGAGAUGCGGUAUCUAGAGGCCAUAAGAAAAAUGCCAUGGCCCCAUGACACAACACAUUCACAUGGUAUGAGGUCAUGGUGCUGGAUCAAAAUCUCUCCAAGGAGGAUCCUAGUGGGUUAGCUAUGUUUCUGCUGUAGGCCAGACUGGACCCCUGAAAUACGUCAUGGGGCAUGAUCCAAUCUUCAUCUCACAGCUUCCUAAAUAAGAAUGUAUUGCCCACAAUGCCCCUUUUUCCCAAGGCCAGCAGCAAGUGUAAAGUUCUGCUCCAUCCCAACUGCUGUGGAUCCCCCAAUACAGGUGUGACUAUGUGUGCAUUCAGGCUGGUGUGGCAUUGCUCAGGAUGGCAGAGGAAAGGAACUGAGUGAGAUGCCUGCUCUGAAGCAGCCUCUGCUGGCAGUACCUUCAAGACGCUGUGCACUGGGUAGCAGCUGGGUCUUACAGGAGAGGAGUUACCAAAACACACCUCUACAACACAGUACUGCUCAUACCUCACAAAGUACUGAACACAAAGCAGACCCUUUGAUGCCAAGAAAGCCAGGACACUGUGGCUUGCACCAGCCAGUAGUGGUUGUCACAUAAGCUUGCUGUUUUGGCAGAGGUCCUUCAAAAUGCAGUUGCAUACUACAUCUGUCUGACUCAAGCCUGUACCACCAGUUCUAUUGCAUUGCACAGAACCAAUUUUAAUAAUCCCAAUUAAUCCUAAUUAAUAGGGGAAGCUGUGGCAGCACUGUAAAAAUUAUAAGGCCUUCUUCACAUUUGAGGUUUGGAUUUCACAGAAUUCAUAGGUCUUAAUUUCAUCACUAUACAUUAAGAUCAAACCAGCAAAUGGAUUAGGUUAAUCUAGCUUCUGCUUCUGUGAACAGAAAGAAGGCUCCAUUGAAUCUCUUGAUUUUAUAAAUCGUAUAUAAGUUCAACAUUUAUAAUCCAGAGAAUUUAAUCAAAUCUCUCUCCUUCUGUUAUGUCCACAAAGUUCAGAUGUGGCAGGAAAGUGAGCUAAUGUAAAAUUAUCGUCUGGGUCAGAAUAUCUAUUUACAGUGUUCAAUUACAUGAUCAUAUCAUUUUGCACAGCCUUCUUUAUAUUGGCAAGCUAUAAAAGAGCUUCUUCAAAUGGAGCCAUUGUUCUGCUGCAUGCUCUAAGAAUAGCAAAGACUAUAUAUAAGGCCUCAGCCCCAGAGCUAUGCAGACGACCUGCCUUGAUAAAUUCAGAAGUUUCCUAUUGCAUCAAAGUUCCUUCCUCCUUUCUCUUCCCAGUCUCUCUUCCCAAAUAUACCAGACUGUAUUUGGGCACCCUACAUAGAUUUAGGUACUGAUCUUCUGCAGACAACUGCAUUUUAUUAUGUCCAGAUUUGAAAGGCUGCUCUUUUUUUAACACUAUACUUGGCCUAGUCUGCCAGACUAUAACUGAGCCGUGUGUUAUUUACAGGUCAGUCGGUGACUUGUUUGCUAAGAGAUGCUGAUAGAAAGGCCCUUACCUGUCUCUGGAUUUCCCUUCUUGUUGCCAUAGUUUAUGGUCAUGGUUUAUCCAGAGGAGCCACCAGUGGCAUUUCACUCCUGAGUUUCUCUCUGUAAUUCCAUUGGAAAUUCUACUAGAAAAUUCAACUUUGGGUACUUUGUAUAUUGUCAUAGAAGUAAAAAUUUCAUGGUAUUUAGUGUAGAGGUCUUUUAAAGUAGCGAGGAAGUAUUAUUUUACUUCUAACUGCUGAAAGGAGAGGCGGGGGAAAGAACAGUAUUGUCCAGAUGGUUUAAGAGACUGCAAGAACAUCAGCAUUCAUGAAGCUGCAAAGACAGCAUUUCAGAGUAGGGGGGCAGGUUAAAAAAGAAAAAAAGAAGAAAAAAAAAGAACUGGCAGAAGAACAAAUUGAACCUAAGAUUUUCGUAAUUUUCAAUGUCCAUGAAAUAGAGUCCUCCAAUAAUACUUAUGAUCAAACAAACAGGAGGUUUGCCACAGAGAUGAAUGUCUCAGAAAAGUGAAAUAAAUGCAGUAUGAUGACAGUUUGGUAUCUCAUGCCCCAGUUUAUGAUCUCUUCUCUGAUUUCAAGGAGCUGCAUGCUCCAAUUUGAACAUAUACACUUGUGCCUUCUCACAUUUCCACCUCUCUGUUGGGCUGAAACCUCAGGGAGCAGUACUGUGAAGGUAAUAAGAUUGAUUCCCCCUAGUUCGGUGUAAUCCUACACAAGUGGAGUAAUCCUAAAUGCAAGGAUGGUUCCCACAGAGGGAGAACAUUAUCUGUCAGGGCCAUGGCCCCCCUGGACCCAAUCACCUGGCAGGAUCCCCCGCAGGAGGGGGGCCAGAAGGAUGCAUUAAGAUAACAGAGGAAGCAAAAAGUUCUGAGAGGAGCUCCUUUUUACUCCUGCCAGGGAUUCUCAAUAGCCUCCCAGCUCAGAGGCUCACUGAAGGAAAAGGGAAUAGCUUGGUUUAUCCAGCUCAGGCAGACUCUCAGGAGGUCCCAAGGGCACACUGAUCUCCAAAGACAGGAGGUACUUUCUGCCUGCAAGGCCAUGUGCUUGAAUCCUGAUCAAAGCAACUGUGGGUUGAAGCCACAUGUGCAAGCUUUGGGUAUUGUGCAAAGCCCUUCUGUUUACUAGUGCUUCUCACACAGGUCUUGAAGAAAUGAAGUGUAAGAGGGUGGGCAGCGCGAUUCCCGAGUAUCUCCAGAGUCAUCACCCAUUGCCUCAGGGUUCAGAAGUGCCUGGCAGACACCCUGGAAAGCAACCCAGGGAGUCCCCAGCAGGCCAGAUUUCAUCACAGUGUGUAACCAAAAGUUUCGUGAGAGUAUAUUUUUUGGAUUUGUAUAAUUUUUCGAAGCUAUGCAGACAGCUUCCAUGCAAUUUCUUCUAACCUAACUCACUCACUCUGCAUCUCAAACACGCGCACCAGGAAUGCAGCAGUCUGGCAUGAGUUGCUCAUGAGAGGGAAGAGGAGCCAGCUGCUAUUUAUACAUGACAUACACUAUGCCCACACUCUUAGCAAGUGACUUCAGACUGUGGCAUGGAAAAAUACUUGAGGAACAGACCCUCGUUUUAUUUCAGUUUUAGGAAUCCCAUCAGCACACUCACUGAAGAAAAAGCUCCUAGAAAAGCUGCAUGCAAACACAUAGAGCUAGAUUUUAAAACCGUGUUAGUUUUGGCCUGCCUCUGCUCUCUCUGGAGUUAUUUUGGCCAGCACUCUCCAUUUCUGAGAAUCUCGCAGAUAGAAUUACAAGAGGGAGACUUCUUCACACACACACACACUCUGAUGCACUGCAGGAACAUUUCUGGCACCUUUAAAGAACCUGACUUCUCUGGAGCUGGGGAUACCAUAGAAGGUAUAAAAAAUUACAGGCAGUGUAUCCAUAUUUCUAUGGCACCCAUUUUAAAUUCCACUGAACUGUGUGAAACACUUACAUUGGAUCAAAUAAGAAAGAUCUUCUGAAUAAAUAAAGUAAGGAAGCUUGGGUGACAGAGCAAAGACUAUUUAAAAAUACAAAGUAGCACAAACUGCUUUCAGUAAUACUGCGCUUUAUCAGGGCAUUCCCUUUUGGUAUACAUGAAAAUUCUACACUGAUGAAUAACAUCAGAG